rnacentral:rRNA from 1 species
CCAUGUGACGUUACCAACUGUUGCCUCGGCGGGAACUCAUGCCCCGGGUGCGUCGCASCCCCGGACCAAGGCGCCCGCCGGAGGACCAACCAAAACUCUUUUUGUAUACCCCCUCGCGGGUUUUUUAUAAUCUGAGCCUUCUCGGCGCCUCUCGUAGGCGUUUCGAAAAUGAAUCAAAACUUUCAACAACGGAUCUCUUGGUUCUGGCAUCGAUGAAGAACGCAGCGAAAUGCGAUAAGUAAUGUGAAUUGCARAAUUCAGUGAAUCAUCGAAUCUUUGAACGCACAUUGCGCCCGCCAGUAUUCUGGCGGGCAUGCCUGUCCGAGCGUCAUUUCAACCCUCGAACCCCUCCGGGGGGUCGGCGUUGGGGAUCGGCCUUCCUUCACGGGGGCCGUCUCCRAAAUACAGUGGCGGUCUCGCCGCASCCUCUCCUGCGCAGNAGUUUGCACACUCGCAUCGGGAGCGCGGCGCGUCCACAGCCGUUAAACACCNAACUUCUGAAAUGUUGACCUCGGAUCANGUAGGAAUNCCCGCUGAACUUAAGCAUAUCAAUA